CAACAGUAACCCCAUUCACCUUAGCACCAUGCUUUAAUAGGAAACUGGCACAAGCAGCAUGACCACCUAGGCAGGCUUCGUGGAGAGGAGACACAUGGUCUACAGUAACAAGAUUAACAUCACUCCCCUGGUUGAUGAGCUUCUUCAGAGCAAGCAGACGCCCGUGGAUAGAUGCAUCGUGUAAAGGAGACCAGUCUGAAACGAAGUCCCUCAUCAGCACCUCUGCUGGAGUCGUUGCAGGCACCUGGCCUCCUGCUCCUUGCGACUUGCUGCCGUUUUGAUUCAUUCCCUCCUCAUCCAUCUCAACCCCGUCUGUCUGUCCAGUGUCUGUUUUCUUACUUCACGGUCACUCUAAGGAGUUCAAAUUCC
rnacentral:lncRNA from 1 species